UUCCUGAUUAUUUCCACAAGGGGGCGAGCUCUGCAUAUCACCCUGCACACUGCUGUUGGUCUCGUCUACUUAAUCUGCACCAUUGUAGCUGUGAUGAGAACAUGGAGCUACUGCAGGAGAAAAGGACAGCGGGGUCAGAAGAUGUAAUUAGGCCAAGUUUGCAUCGGUGAGGAGGAGGAAGUGACACGAGCAACAUCUUCCUCUUUCAUGCAUUCUGUUGUUCUGAUGGAUACAGUUUUUUUCCUUUGUCUUUUUAAAAUGCUCUUGUCACUGUUGGAUGGUGCUGGUCAACAAAAUAGGUCACAUAGGGGGCUGCCUAGGGCUCCAUCUUCUGAGGGGGUUCCAACUUAGCAAAUUGCCAGCACCAGCCCCUGUCCAACCCCCUCUCCGUCCCCUCCUCCCCCCACGUGGAUGAUGAACAAAACCAGGCAAGAAAAAGUAACACUCAGCGCUAAAGUUUGAAUAUCGUCUAGGGCUUCGACCGGCACAGCUGUAGGAUAUUGUACAUUGGUCACUGCAGAAUUUUGUUUCUAAUGUAUAAAAUAAAGAUUCACUCUAA